CUUGGCCACCCAGGUGUUGAUGAGCUCCAAGUUGGCGUCACUGUUGUUGCUUAGGACUCUGGGGCUGCUGCUGUACAGGGUCCGAGAGGCAUUCACAAAGGUGACACCUUUGGUCGUGAAGCCCUUCAGGGCCUGGUGGACACAGGUGAAGUCCUUGGGGUAAGAGAGGAUGCUCUCCAGGUUUGUUUUGGUGUUCUCCC
rnacentral:lncRNA from 1 species